UCCUACGGGGCGCAGCAGUGGGGAAUAUUGGGCAAUGGGCGCAAGCCUGACCCAGCAACGCCGCGUGAAGGAAGAAGGCUUUCGGGUUGUAAACUUCUUUUGUCAGGGACGAAGCAAGUGACGGUACCUGACGAAUAAGCCACGGCUAACUACGUGCCAGCAGCCGCGGUAAUACGUAGGUGGCAAGCGUUGUCCGGAUUUACUGGGUGUAAAGGGCGUGUAGCCGGGCUGACAAGUCAGAUGUGAAAUUCCGGGGCUCAACCCCGGACCUGCAUUUGAAACUGUUGGUCUUGAGUAUCGGAGAG
rnacentral:rRNA from 1 species